rnacentral:lncRNA from 1 species
GAUAACAACUCCUUGUACCCUCCCCAGCCCCCAUGGCCACUUCCACUCUUUCUCCAAGGUGAGUUUUGAGAGCUUCAGAGAGUGCACAGUGGUGCAGUCAGGGGAUAUUGGGUCUUUUUGCGUCUGGCUCCUUUCACCCAGAGUGUGCUUUCCAAGUUCCCUUGUAUUAUAGCAUUUUGUUGCUUCAGAAUUUCCUUCUUUUUAAGGCUGGAUAAUAUUGCAUAGUGUGUAUAGAAAACAUUUUGUUUAUCUAGCCAUCUGUCAAUGGACAUUUGGGCUGUUGCCACCUUUGGCCUAUUGUGACUAAUACUGUGAAUAUCGAUUUGCAAAUAAUCUGUUCCCAUCCCGAAUGUAAUUCUUUUGUGUACAUGCCCAGUGGUGGCGUUGCUGACUGCAUUAUUUGAGGAACCGCCAACUGUUUUCCACCAAGGCUGAACCCUCUCACCAUUUCAUAUCACUGCCAACCACGCACAGAGCUCUUCCUCCACAUUCUGGCCAACACUUGCUCAUUGUUAGAACCACGGGGUGAGGGAGUCAGAUGGACUCCAAUCUCCACUGCACAGGUGACAUGGCUGAGGUCAAGUUAGUUGCCUAAGAUCAGCACUGUUGAGUUCUCUUUCUUCCUAGACAUUUAUCCAAACCUGCUCAUUGUAGGUGACUCUAUCACUUGGUUUGUCCCUUAGUUCUCCCCUUUGUUCCCAGUGUGUGUUGCACACAGUAGACCUUCCAGACCUCACAAAUAUGAGGUGACUUUGAUGUCAUGUGAAGAAUACUAGCUGGGAGAUGUCAUCUGCAGUUUAUACUCACUUUUGGGUUUGUUUCUGGAUAGUGAGAAGGAUGAUGAAGAGUCAGAUUCAGAUGGGAUCAUUGUGUCACUACUGAUCAUUAACUGAUAAAAUGAAUUAUCUAGUUUUUUUAUGUAUACAUAUUUCUAUCAUAUUGAAGGAGGGUCUCAGUUUCUUUCACUCUCAGGAGAAACUCAGUAUAUCCUAAGGCAACUUUACUUGUCCUGGGACAAAUUUUGCUCAAGUUUACAUUAUGAACAGAUUUUAUUUUUGUCCAGUGCUGGGGAUGGAACCCAGGGCCUUGCACAGGCUGGCAAAUGCUCUCUCUUCCUUUUCUUUUCUUUUUUCCGUAGAACCCAGGGGCGCUUUACUACUGAGCCACAUUCUUAACCCUUGUUGUUGUUUUUUAUUUUAAGACAGGGUCUCGCUAAAUUGCUUGAACUUGUGAUCCUCUUGCCUCAGCCUCCUGAGUCCCUGGGCUUGCAGGUGUAUACCACUGUGCUUGGCCAGUGUUGUUCUUCUUGUUGGCCUUUCAGAACCAUCCCCGUUGACUUU